rnacentral:lncRNA from 1 species
AAGAAACCGUUUAUCCCAGAAGACAAAAUACAGAAAAGUGGGAAGAAAAUGGCGUUAAUGAAGCAGACAAAGUCAACAAAGUGGUAUGGAUAGACAGAUAAUAGAAGGUAUAUUAUGAGUUAAAGCAAACGAUAAAAGCUACGUGAGAGGGAAAAAGAUGAACACGAUGACAGCAGACAACAAAAUUUAAGAGACGAAACGAAACCUUUGAUAACAUCAUCCCUUGCUCCUUUGACCUAUGUAGUGGUGACACAAAACAUGGUCACUAUGUUUCAACCAUUCACUUUGUUAUUAACAAGCAUAUGCAUCAUCUACCACCAACACAUCAAUUCCAUGCUUAUCUCCUUUCUCAUUACCACAUUUAUCGUUUAAUUCUCUCUCGUGUAACACAAAGGAUAUAUAUCACCGCCGUCGACA